AAGCGGGAGUCACUUGUUCCGCUCCAGGUCGCUUCGUCAACUGUUUGAGGAAGGAAGUCGGGCGGGGGCCAAAGAGGGGGCGAGGCAAAACCCGUCGGCAGGCGAGAGGAAGCGCUGUCACGUCCGGGAGGAAGCGUUGUGAAGGCGCCGGCGCAAAUUCCAUUGACCUGAAACCCCAAAAUGGUGAAAGAAACAGUUCCGCCGGAGUCCGUUCAGCUUGAGCGGCGCUGACCUCCGUCCAAGAAGGUUGGCAGCCCUCCGUAUGAAAGCAGUGGAAAACGGCGGAUUAGUGGACGCCAAACACGCGCCUCGUACAAGGACAUCGCAAUGCGCCGUGUUUUUUUUUUUUUUUGUGCUCUGUUGCUUGGCGACAAACAAUUUCCUAACCACACGGGGGGGUGUCGGUGCUCGUUGCCAUAAAGCGAGCACUUCGGCCUUCAAAGCGCGAGCGACUUCCGUCUGACGCGCUCCAAAAGAAGUCGAAACGGUUGCUUAGCUUAAAAUGGAUGUGUUGUAUGCUAGCAUGCUAGCUAAUUAGCUUUUUAAGAAGCUAGUUUUUGCUGGCCGGCUUAACAUCAGCUGGAUGCUAAACUACACGAUAUUUGGUACAGGUAAAGAGAAAAUAUAUCAAAGUUUAAU